UACAGAGGUCCCCAGCGUUGUUCGGAUUCACUGGGCGUAAAGGGUGCGUAGGCGGUCGGGUAAGUCUCCGGUGAAAUCGCCCGGCUCAACUGGGCGGGUGCCGGGGAGACUGGCGGACUUGAGGAGCCUAGAGGCCGGUGGAACUCCCGGUGUAGUGGUGAAAUGCGUAGAGAUCGGGAAGAACACCAGUGGCGAAGGCGGCCGGCUGGGGGUGUCCUGACGCUGAGGCGCGAGAGCGUGGGGAGCAAACCGG
rnacentral:rRNA from 1 species